rnacentral:rRNA from 1 species
AUGUCGACGGUGACCCGUGCCUACCUCGAUCAGAAGCUCGCCGCCGCCCGGCGCUGCUCCAGAGAGGCCGCCGUGGCGGGAGCCAAGGCCGCGGCCGUCGCCACCGUCGCUGCCGCAGUACCUACACUGGCCAGCGUGAGGAUGCUGCCGUGGGCGAGGGCGCACCUGAACCCCACAGGCCAGGCGCUCAUCAUCUCCACCGUCGCUGCGAUGGCCUACUUCAUCGUCGCCGACAAGACCAUCCUCUCCAUGGCCAGGAAGCACUCCUUCGACGACGCGCCAGACCACCUCAAGAACACCUCCUUCCACUAA